GGGCGGGCCCUCCCUGUAGUCAGGGCGAGGGUGCCGGCCCCCGGCCUUUGGCCGGCGUGCUCCCUGCCUGGCUGCUGCGAGUCAUUCCUGUGGCCCUGGGGGAAGGCUGAGCUCUCUGUCUGCCUGGGUGUCGUGGCCCUCCCUGUAGUCGGGGCGCGGGCCUGGAGCCCGCGUGCUCAGCUGGCAGCCGGUUUGGGGCGACCGCCCCGUUAGCGGGGCCCAGGUCAGAGUGCCCCUGCAUGGGAGAGAAGGAGCCUCCCUCCGCCGCGGGGCCCCGGGCUGCCCUGUAGCUCGGGGACUGGCCUGUGCCCUGGGGCCCCUGGCCUUAGGCAGUUGGGGCAGUGGCCCCGGCCCCCUGUAAGCAGGGCUGAAGCCUCCUGGGCCACCGCUCUCCAUGCCCAGCUCCAUUUGCCCAGAGUGCCCGCCUCUGACCCCCGCUGCAGCUUCAAUCAAGACCGCUGGACACCUCGUCAGCUGGAGGCCGUGCAGUGGGCAGCGGCUGCUGCUCACGGAGAAGCAAGAAGAGGAGUCGUGAGGAGCGGCGAGUCAAGAGUGAGCCUGAAGAGAGGAUGAGGAAGAUGGAAGAGAAAGCUCACAGAGAAGCAAGAAGAGGAGUCGUGAGGAGCGGCAAGUCAAGAGUGAGCCUGAAGAGAGGAUGAGGAAGAGAGAAGAGGAGGGAGGAGAAAGGCACUCCCUGCAAGCAGGGGCUGUGGUCACGUAAGAGCAUGGCUGGCACUACCAGGGUGGUAUUGUCAUUACUGGGGGCAGGUACUUGCUGAAUACUUUCAGCCUGUCCACGGAGGAGGCAGCUGGAGGACCUCCGAUGCCGGAGGAGCCGUCUCCUCUUCUCCUGGAGCAGCUCCUGGAUCUGCCCCUUUCCCAGUUACUCAAGAAAAUGCUUUGUCAAGAUGUAGGUUACACCCUGGGCACCUUUCACACCCAACUCUGCUGUAACUCGUGCCAGGACAAUUGCACUGCACAGGCGGUCUUGACUUUGCCCCAGCUGUUGGAGGUUUUGCUGUUGUCAGGCUGGUGUGUGUUUGUCCUUGGUAGUUCCAAGGGGGAUCUCAGGCUUCUAGGUAGCAGUGCGGUGGUACCGCAGGGGUGUUGUAGGUGUGCGGUGGUACUGCAGGGGUGUUGUGGUAGGGUGUUGUGGUAGGUGUGCGGUGGUACUGCAGGGGUGUUGUGGAGCUGUUGUGGUAGGCGUGCGGUGGUACUGCACGGCUGUUGUGGUAGGGUGUUGUGGUAGGCGUGCGGUGGUACCGCACGGCUGUUGUGGUAGGUGUGCGGUGGUACUGCAGGGGUGUUGUGGAGGUGUUGUGGUAGGCGUGUGGUGGUACUGCAGUGCCGUAGGAGGAUUUCUUUUGGCUUGUCCGUGGCCUGCGGCAGCAGGGCACAGUGUUUAGCGUGAGGGGAUGAGGAUGCGCGAGCUGUCGCGGCCUGUUUAGUGCAGAGUAGGGGGCAGAGGGGAGGUCGCCUGUGCGGUGCAAUUGGACGGGGGUGCAGAGUUGCUCUGAGUGGGGUGUCGAAAGCGGCCCAGCCCCAGGCCCCCUCCCUGGCUCCUCCAGCCCUGUGCCUGUGCCUGUGCCUGUGCCUGUGCCUGUGCCUGUGCCUGGCGGGGCUCAGGACGGCCCUGCGUAGCCCAUGCGGUGCCACCGCUCCAGCGCCAAGCUGCCAGCUUGCACCUCUCUGCCCUCCGGAGCCAGUGUAGCCAUUGCAGGAAACGGAGCUGAAACUUCCGCUAAACAGCUCCUGCCCUCUUCUCUGCCCAGAGUCAACGGGGGUAACCGUCCCGCUCUGUCUUCUUCCCCAAAUUCAACACACAGGCCCUUUCAAGAGAUGGUAUUGUAAAUUAUUGACCUAAAAUGCCUUAUUCUUAUCAUGCCAUGUUAAUGUAAUUAAAGUUCAGGAAGAUGCUGGAGCUUGUCUGAGCUAAGCCCCCCCACGGUGCAACGCACCUGUGUGGUGAAACAGCUGCCGUGUGGGGACCUUGGAGCGUUUUUUGGCCAUGCCUCAACUCCUGCUGUAGUUUAAAAAAAAUAAAGCCUUUCUGUGCAAGAAGUCUCUGUCCUGUCUGUGCCUCAACUAGAAGACAUGAAGUAAGGCUGUAUGUUCACUGUCCUGUCUGUGCCUAUAGCAGAAAAAAUGAAAUUAAAGGGUAUUUUCACUGUCUUGUCUGUGCGCAAAGCAGAAACAAUGAAAUUAAAGGGUGUUUUCACUGUCUGGUCUGUGUGCAAAGCAGAAACAAUGAAAUUAAAGGGUGUUUUCACUGUCCUGUCUGUGUAAACCAGAAAAAAAAGAAAGAAGGUUGUGUUCCCUGUCCCAUGUAGUUGUAAAGCAAGAAAAAGAAAGAAAAUGGUGUUUUUCCCUGUCCCCUGUAUCUGUGUAAAGCAGAAAAAAGAAAAAGAAAUAAAAUGGUGUUUCUCCCUGUUGCAUGUCUGUGUAAAGCAGAAAAAAGAAAAGGAAAGAAAAUAUGUUUUUCCUUGUCACAUGCAUGUGUAAAGCAAGAAAAAGAAAUAAAGUGUUGUUUCUCCCUGUCUCAUGUAUGUGUAAAGCAGGAAAAAGAAAAAGAAAGAAAAUGGUGUUUUUUCCCUCUCUCACGUAUGUGUAAAGCAGGAACAAGAAAUAAAGUGUUUUUUUUCCCUGUCCCCUGUUCAUGUAAAGCAGAAAAAAGAAAGAAAAUGGUGUUUCUCCCUGUCACAUGUCUGUAUAAAGCAGAAAAAAAGAAAGAAAAUAUGUUUUUCCUUGUCACAUGUAUGUGUAAAGCCAGAAGUAGAAAUAAAAUGGUCCUUUUCCCUGUCUCAGUUAUGUGUAAAGCCAGAAGAAGAAAUAAAGUGUGUUUUUCCCUGUCUCAUGUCUGUGUAAAGCAGAAAAAAAUAAAAUGGUGUUUUUCCCUGUGUCAUGUAUGUGUAGAGGAGAAAAAAGAACAAGAAAGAAAACGGUGUUU